GACGUAGGGCGCGAGCGUUUGUCCGGAUUUAUUGGGCGUAAAGAGCUCGUAGGCGGUGUGUCACGUCGGCCGUGAAAACCUGCAGCUUAACUGUGGGCGUGCGGUCGAUACGGGCAUCACUGGAGUUCGGCAGGGGAGACUGGAAUUCCUGGUGUAGCGGUGAAAUGCGCAGAUAUCAGGAGGAACACCGGUGGCGAAGGCGGGUCUCUGGGCCGAUACUGACGUGGAGGAGCGAAAGCGUGGGGAGCAAACAGG
rnacentral:rRNA from 1 species